rnacentral:lncRNA from 1 species
GCUGGGCAACAAAAAUCAAAUCUUAGGUUGUGAGAUUUCUAGAGAGAAUUCUCUUGGUGUAAUCCUAGUAGAGAAAUCGAAGGCAAUAGUGCAUUGGUGUAAUCGUUCGUGGAGAAAGUAGCUUGUAGUGUUCUUGUGAAGAAAAGGCUGCAGUGGUGCAUCGGUUGGAAAGAAUCUUAACCAUCUUCCAUAUGGAUCACCAUUG